GCCCGUACCAUACCAUAUUGGAAGCACCAGUUCUCGUCUGAUCACCGAAGUUAAGCAACGUUGGGCCAGGUUAAUACUUACAUGGGUGACCGGCUGGGAAUACCGGGUGCUGCGGCCG
rfam:Clonorchis sinensis DNA, scaffold: 400, strain: Henan.